UACGGAGGGUGCGAGCGUUGUCCGGAAUCACUGGGCGUAAAGGGCGCGUAGGCGGUUUGGUAAGUCACUUGUGAAAUCCCGGCGCUCAACGCCGGGGCUGCGAGGUGAGACUGUCAGACUAGAGCUCGGUAGAGGCAAGUGGAAUUCCCGGUGUAGCGGUGGAAUGCGUAGAUAUCGGGAAGAACACCGGUGGCGAAGGCGGCUUGCUGGGCCGAUGCUGACGCUGAGGCGCGAAAGCGUGGGGGAGCAAACAGG
rnacentral:rRNA from 1 species